rnacentral:lncRNA from 1 species
AUCCAGUCAGGAAACAGCCACAGGGAAGGGAACCCCUAAGCCACUUUGGGAGCCACAUCCACCACUUCUCUGCCCCUGACCCAGGCUGGUUCCUAGCCCUUAGGGUCCUACUGCGGACCUCCCGGCCAUAAUUAACGCAGGUGCAGGACCAGAGAGCCCCUUGGUCCCUCCCAACACAUGAGGGAACUUUGUGUGGUGAGGUCAGGUACAGUGUCUACGUUUCUGCUGUGAAUAGGGCUUUCUUGGAAACAAUUUUAAUUUCCCUUUUUAAAUAUCCCUUUGGAACCACAUUUAAUAAUUUGCUGGUGGAACUUAACAGUGAUAAAUCUUUGAAUCCAUUUUUCUUUUCUUUUUCUGACACGCAGUCUUGCUUUGUAGCCCAGGCUGGAAUGCUGUGACUCGAUCUGGGCUCACUGCAACCUCCACUUCCCGGGUUCAAGCGAUUCUCCUGCCUCAGCCUCCCGAGUAGAUGAAAUUACAGACAACCGCCACCACGCCCGGCUAAUUUUUGCAUUUUUUAGUAGAGAUUGGGUUUCACCAUGUGGGCCAGGCUGGUCUCGAACUCCUGAACUCAAGUGAUCUGCCCGCCUUGGCCACCCAAAAUGCUGGGAUUGCAGGCGUGAGCCACUGCGCCCGGCCUGAAUCCAUUUUAACACUGAGUUUUUCAGAUUAACUCGAAGUACCCCACAACUACACGCUAAUGAAACUAGAGGAGGCACAGCCUCAGCUCCGUGCAGGAUGGAUGCACAAGAGCAGAAUCUCCAUGGGACGCCUUUCUGGAGCAUCAGUAUUACUGCAGGAUUUGGAAGCAACAAGUUCAAAUAAUUUUCAACGUUAACACACUGGAAAUUUAAGAGAAGUCUGGAAACUCAUCUACCUUUAAAAACUGUCAGUCAUCUGUGCCUAAGUCAGACUUUCUCCAAGAAAAAAAAAAAAAGAAACUCUAAGGAGACCCUAUUUUUUAUUCUUCUAAGUAGUUAAAAUUAGAAAUCACAGCAAGUCAACAGGAAGCUCUCCUCUGCCAGUCUCCUAAAUCACAAUAUGGCCUUGUCGUGGCUGGAGUAUUUCAAAGGCUCAGUCCCACUCCAGAAUCGGCCCUGUCGCCUCCGCCCGCACUCCAGAGCCGGCUGAGAACCGCAGCGGCGCGGGAUCCACGUGCAGCGUCUCUCCAGGUCAAAGCUACCUAGAUGUCAUCAUACAAAUUACAGGCUAUGACGUCCACCUCAUUCUCUUUCUGGAAGGCUGACCUUAACUGUCCUGCACAUUCCUUACACAGCAUAUUUGCCCUUUUCCUAUACUAAUAAGCCCUAAAUCUUGGGGGUAACAGCCUGGGGAACUACCUGUCUUGCUACCACUCAAGACCAUACUUCUGUCCACAAAUUCCCCCCAAUAAAUUAUCUUUUACUGACAAA